rnacentral:lncRNA from 1 species
UGGUCUACAGUAAAAUAAAUCGAAAUGCGAUUCUCAAAUGAACAUCGAAUCCAUUGGUACACAUAAUUUGUGGACAACCGUGCUAGUUUUCAAGUUGUAUCCACUGAAAAUUUAACUUUGAGCAGGAAACUAACAAUUAUUCAGCGACAUAGCGGCUUAGGAAUAAACUCAUCAGAGAUACCAGAAUCGAAAGUUUAUAUUGACACCAGACGCGCAUUUC